AAGGGGUUAGUCUAAUAAUAAGACCACUAAUUUCGACUUAGUAAAUUCUGACCCUAUCAGAACCCCUAA
rnacentral:tRNA from 1 species